rnacentral:rRNA from 1 species
AUUGAACGCUGGCGGCAGGCCUAACACAUGCAAGUCGCACGAGUGGCGGACGGGUGAGUAAUGUCUGGGAAACUGCCUGAUGGAGGGGGAUAACUACUGGAAACGGUAGCUAAUCCCGCAUACCAUCAGAUGUGCCCAGAUGGGAUUAGCUCGUUGGUGGGUUAACGGCUCACCAAGGCGACGAUCCCUAGCCGGUCUGAGAGGAUGACCAGCCACACUGGAACGUGGACACGGGCCAGACUCCUACGGGAGGCAGCAGUGGGGAAUAUUGCACAAUGGGCGCAAGCCGGAGGCAGCCAUGCCGCGUGUAUGAAGAAGGCCUUCGGGUUGUAAAGUACUGUCAGCGGGGAGGCGUUACCCGCAGAAGAAGCACCGGCUAACUCCGUGCCAGCAGCCGCGGUAAUAC